AUUGAACGCUGGCGGCAGGCCUAACACAUGAAAGUCGAGCGAGCGGCGGACGGGUGAGUAAUGUCUGGGAAACUGACUGAUGGAGGGGGAUAACUACUGGAAACGGUAGCUAAUACCGCAUACCAUCAGAUGUGCCCAGCUGGGAUUAGCUAGUAGGUGGGGGAACGGCUCACCUCGGCGACGAUCCCUAGCUGGUCUGAGAGGAUGAACAGCAACACGGGAACUGAGACACGGUCCAGACUCCGACGGGAGGCAGCAGUGGGGAAUAUUGCACAAGGGGCGCAAGCCUGAUGCAGCCAUGCCGCGUGUGUGAAGAAGGCCUUCGGGUUGUAAAGCACUUUCAGCGGGGAGGCGUUACCCGCAGAAGAAGCACCGACUAACUCCGUGCCAGCAGCCGCGGUAAUUC
rnacentral:rRNA from 1 species